CACUUCCCUAGAUCAAACUCUAAUCCUAACCCAAACCCCAGUGCCAACCCUUAUCCUCUCCACCACCAUCUCAAUCUCCCUAAUCUGAAUCCUCACCAUCCAUGGUCCUUCGCAAUUGAAAAUCCUGGUUCUUUCCUCUACCACCCCCAUCACCCAAUCCUUAACCCUAACCCAAACCUAGUCAUCCCAAUCGCCGAUGGUAACUCCCAUCAAGAACCCAACCU
rnacentral:lncRNA from 1 species